AGAAGACUAGUUUAAUCAGUUGUAGCCUCAUGUGAGUUUUCCACAAGAGCUUCAUUGAUGUCGGUGUUCCCGGAGCAGGUUUUAUUGUGUGCAACAUUGGCUUAUGAAAUGCUGUUGAUUCCAGGUUGCAGUAAAGUGUGCCAACUGCAGGUUUUAGGGGGAGUUUCUUUGUGAUAUUGAGUGCUGGAAAUGAGCAGUCCAACUUAAUUGCCAUUAACAUGUGAGGACUUCCUGUGAUCCAAGGUUUAUGAGAGUUGAUACGGAUCGGGUUAUGGUUGAUUGCUUUUGUGUCACCAUAGAUUAAUUUACUCUGGAAGAAAAUAUUGGAGUUAUUUGCAAUCCAAGCUCCAAUUAGAGAUGAAAGAGUCAAAGAAACUGAGGCCAAGCAUGUUGCCGCUGAUGUGUUGGAUUAAAUGACAGAUAGAGCUGUGCUAACAUCCCUAUUUUCAGCCUGCAUAAUUCUGUCAACCCAUGCUCUUUUGCCAUUGUUUUCAAAUCCCAUGACUGUGGUGUGAAGGCAAAUCUCAUGGUUCUUAAUCAACAUCUCAAGGUUCAUAAGGAACAUGGAUAGUUUGUGGUUGGCUUCCUGAAGCUACAGAUAAUCCAUUUAUAUGAGAAGGAUCAACAGAAUUGUUCUGAUGGAUCAACAUGUUUCCUCUUCCCAUUCCCUUCAAAAGUUUAGCCUGCUGUUGAGCCUGUGUAUGCUGUGGCUGAUUAGGAUGCUGCCUCGCAGGCUGUUGAUACUGCCUCUGUUGUGCCUGCCGUUGUCGUUGCUUC